rnacentral:rRNA from 1 species
CCUACGGGUGGCAGCAGUGAGGAAUAUUGGUCAAUGGGCGUAAGCCUGAACCAGCCAAGUCGCGUGAGGGAUGAAGGUUCUAUGGAUCGUAAACCUCUUUUAUAAGGGAAUAAAGUGUGGGACGUGUCCUAUUUUGUACGUCCCUUAUGAAUAAGGAUCGGCUAACUCCGUGUCAGCAGCCGCGGUAAUACGGAGGAUCCGAGCGUUAUCCGGAUUUAUUGGGUUUAAAGGGUGCGUAGGCGGCUUUUUAAGUCAGCGGUGAAAGUCUGUGGCUCAACCCUAGAAUUGCCGUUGAAACUGGGGGGCUUGAGUAUGUUUGAGGCAGGCGGAAUGCGUGGUGUAGCGGUGAAAUGCUUAGAUAUCACGCAGAACCCCGAUUGCGAAGGCAGCCUGCCAAGCCAUGACUGACGCUGAUGCACGAAAGCGUGGGGAUCAAACAGGAUUAGAUACCCCAGUAGUC